AAAUGUGAUAUUUUAGUAUUUCUCUAGUAGGUUUCCUCAAGGAGAAAGCCCCC
rnacentral:snRNA from 1 species